GACGUAGGGCGCGAGCGUUGUCCGGAUUUAUUGGGCGUAAAGAGCUCGUAGGCGGCUUGUCGCGUCGUUCGUGAAAACCUGCAGCUCAACUGCAGGCUUGCGGUCGAUACGGGCAGGCUAGAGUUCGGUAGGGGAGACUGGAAUUCCUGGUGUAGCGGUGAAAUGCGCAGAUAUCAGGAGGAACACCGGUGGUGUAGACGGCUUUCUGGACCGUAACUGAAGCUGAGGAGCGAAAGCGUGGGGAGCGAACAGG
rnacentral:rRNA from 1 species